rnacentral:tRNA from 1 species
GGUCUUAUAUUCAAUAGUAUGAUUAUAGAAUGCAAUUCUGUAGGAGUGAUAAAUAAAUCUAUAUCACUAAGACUU